AGCCCAGAGCCUGAAUCAGUGUGUGUGUUAGUGGAAGCGUCUGGAAAGGCGCGCGAUACAGGGUGACAGCCCCGUACACAAAAAUGCACAUGCUGUGAGCUCGAUGAGUAGGGCGGGACACGUGGUAUCCUGUCUGAAUAUGGGGGGACCAUCCUCCAAGGCUAAAUACUCCUGACUGACCGAUAGUGAACCAGUACCGUGAGGGAAAGGCGAAAAGAACCCCGGCGAGGGGAGUGAAAAAGAACCUGAAACCGUGUACGUACAAGCAGUGGGAGCACGCUUAGGCGUGUGACUGCGUACCUUUUGUAUAAUGGGUCAGCGACUUAUAUUCUGUAGCAAGGUUAACCGAAUAGGGGAGCCGAAGGGAAACCGAGUCUUAACUGGGCGUUAAGUUGCAGGGUAUAGACCCGAAACCCGGUGAUCUAGCCAUGGGCAGGUUGAAGGUUGGGUAACACUAACUGGAGGACCGAACCGACUAAUGUUGAAAAAUUAGCGGAUGACUUGUGGCUGGGGGUGAAAGGCCAAUCAAACCGGGAGAUAGCUGGUUCUCCCCGAAAGCUAUUUAGGUAGCGCCUCGUGAAUUCAUCUCCGGGGGUAGAGCACUGUUUCGGCAAGGGGGUCAUCCCGACUUACCAACCCGAUGCAAACUGCGAAUACCGGAGAAUGUUAUCACGGGAGACACACGGCGGGUGCUAACGUCCGUCGUGAAGAGGGAAACAACCCAGACCGCCAGCUAAGGUCCCAAAGUCAUGGUUAAGUGGGAAACGAUGUGGGAAGGCCCAGACAGCCAGGAUGUUGGCUUAGAAGCAGCCAUCAUUUAAAGAAAGCGUAAUAGCUCACUGGUCGAGUCGGCCUGCGCGGAAGAUGUAACGGGGCUAAACCAUGCACCGAAGCUGCGGCAGCGACACUGUGUGUUGUUGGGUAGGGGAGCGUUCUGUAAGCCUGCGAAGGUGUGCUGUGAGGCAUGCUGGAGGUAUCAGAAGUGCGAAUGCUGACAUAAGUAACGAUAAAGCGGGUGAAAAGCCCGCUCGCCGGAAGACCAAGGGUUCCUGUCCAACGUUAAUCGGGGCAGGGUGAGUCGACCCCUAAGGCGAGGCCGAAAGGCGUAGUCGAUGGGAAACAGGUUAAUAUUCCUGUACUUGGUGUUACUGCGAAGGGGGGACGGAGAAGGCUAUGUUGGCCGGGCGACGGUUGUCCCGGUUUAAGCGUGUAGGCUGGUUUUCCAGGCAAAUCCGGAAAAUCAAGGCUGAGGCGUGAUGACGAGGCACUACGGUGCUGAAGCAACAAAUGCCCUGCUUCCAGGAAAAGCCUCUAAGCAUCAGGUAACAUCAAAUCGUACCCCAAACCGACACAGGUGGUCAGGUAGAGAAUACCAAGGCGCUUGAGAGAACUCGGGUGAAGGAACUAGGCAAAAUGGUGCCGUAACUUCGGGAGAAGGCACGCUGAUACGUAGGUGAAGUCCCUCGCGGAUGGAGCUGAAAUCAGUCGAAGAUACCAGCUGGCUGCAACUGUUUAUUAAAAACACAGCACUGUGCAAACACGAAAGUGGACGUAUACGGUGUGACGCCUGCCCGGUGCCGGAAGGUUAAUUGAUGGGGUCAGCGCAAGCGAAGCUCUUGAUCGAAGCCCCGGUAAACGGCGGCCGUAACUAUAACGGUCCUAAGGUAGCGAAAUUCCUUGUCGGGUAAGUUCCGACCUGCACGAAUGGCGUAAUGAUGGCCAGGCUGUCUCCACCCGAGACUCAGUGAAAUUGAACUCGCUGUGAAGAUGCAGUGUACCCGCGGCAAGACGGAAAGACCCCGUGAACCUUUACUAUAGCUUGACACUGAACAUUGAGCCUUGAUGUGUAGGAUAGGUGGGAGGCUUUGAAGUGUGGACGCCAGUCUGCAUGGAGCCGACCUUGAAAUACCACCCUUUAAUGUUUGAUGUUCUAACGUUGACCCGUAAUCCGGGUUGCGGACAGUGUCUGGUGGGUAGUUUGACUGGGGCGGUCUCCUCCUAAAGAGUAACGGAGGAGCACGAAGGUUGGCUAAUCCUGGUCGGACAUCAGGAGGUUAGUGCAAUGGCAUAAGCCAGCUUGACUGCGAGCGUGACGGCGCGAGCAGGUGCGAAAGCAGGUCAUAGUGAUCCGGUGGUUCUGAAUGGAAGGGCCAUCGCUCAACGGAUAAAAGGUACUCCGGGGAUAACAGGCUGAUACCGCCCAAGAGUUCAUAUCGACGGCGGUGUUUGGCACCUCGAUGUCGGCUCAUCACAUCCUGGGGCUGAAGUAGGUCCCAAGGGUAUGGCUGUUCGCCAUUUAAAGUGGUACGCGAGCUGGGUUUAGAACGUCGUGAGACAGUUCGGUCCCUAUCUGCCGUGGGCGCUGGAGAA
rnacentral:rRNA from 1 species